CCAUUGCCGGAAGAAUUUGAGAUGUCAGACUAAGUGUGUACCUACGUGUGUCUCAAGCUAAAGUGUAAGGCAUGGUGCCGAGGGCUGCAUGGUCGCGGGGGACGUUAAACAGCGCGGUGUAAACGAUCCGGGAUAUUUGCCGACCCCCCGAAGUACGGAGACUUAUCUGGUGGUGGGUAUUGGAGGCUCUGCCCAGGUGGACUUCUUUUUCCUAUCAUUCUCGUGGGAACAAUGGAGGACAAAAAUAUUAAAAACACAUUUAGUGAUAGAGAAAUUACAGAGAUUGUCGAAGUAGAAGAAGUAGGAUGGAGAGUGAGACAUAGCUCUGUCAAUUUCGGGCUCCAGAAGGGUUAAAAGAGGCCAUAAAGAAAAUAUGGAUAAAUUAGAGGAUGUUGAUGUCUCGAAAUGAAAUUUAAUUUAAAAAAGAAAAUGGAGCAAUUCUUGUUUAAUGAAGCAAAUAAAAUCAGAAAGACGGCAAUAAAAUUUAUUAUGGAUUGGAACGUCAACCAUCUAAACAGGUAAUUCUCCUUCUGAAACCAGAUAAGAAAACGGACAAUAGAGAUAAUGACGAACUUAAAUCUAAUUUUUGCGAAUUAUUAAAAACGGAAAAGAAUAAAAUAAAAAUUAAAACCGUUAGGAAAAUGAGGAAUAAAGGUUUAAUAGCAGAAUUUGCCGACGAAGAAGACUUAAGAAUAAUACGUAAUUCUAAUCUAGUUAAAAUUGGCUUAAGAGCGGAGAUGCCAAAGAAAUCGGGUUCAAUAGUAAUCAUGUAUGACGUGGAUAAGUCACUCUCAAAA